AGAUUACGACAGAUGAGCGUGUUGAGUGGCUGCCAUCGUGCACUGAAGCUUUCCCCACGCAAGAAGCUCUUGUGGAAUGGAUAAAAGAAGGCGAGAAAAAGGUCGUAAUAGAUGAUGAGACAGAGUUCUGUACCAAGGACGUUCUUGAAGAUGUUAUCCAGUCUAAGAAUGUUUUUGAUAACCUUGAAAAUGACGAACUUCGACGUGCAAGGACACGGGCAAAUCCAUUGAAACUAUACGAGGUGGUUUCUUUCAGAACAGAUCUGCAAUGAA